GAGCUCGACUUGGAUCACUCUUGGUUGGAGUCAACUUUUGUCAUGUACUAGUAUGUGCCGUGGUGAUGAUGAGACUCGAUCCAUCUCGACGAGUUCAGUCGACCAAUGUUCUCGAUAUCACACACCAGUCGCAGAUAUGUCAGCCACUUACGUACUGUACAAAAAACCAUCGUUGACGGACUCCGGUUGACUUGAGGAGCUGAAACACUCAGUGGUAUCUCCAGCAUGUCUGCGUCUGCAAUGCACUGCCCCCGGCAAUCUAACAAACCUGGUCAUGGCGGUGAUGAUACAGCUUGUGGACGUCAUAAUGGUACUUGUACGAGGCCACUGACUGUCUCCAAGUAGCAAACAUGGUUAUGCAACUGCUCGGGUAGGAUACAGACGGAAACCCGGUACAGUACUGUGGUCAUCACUUGUACUAGACUCAUCGAUGUCACGUUACGAUAUCUACGCCUCCGUGGGGUCAAAGGUGAGUGCCAACCAACAUUUUCCACCAGCCACUCCAAUCCCCCUCCCCCGAACUCUUUUGAUACCGUUGACGAGAUUUCCACGCCCGUGAUUGAUUUUGGUUCAUCUGGGACUGGAGACGCGUUCAUUGCUACCCCAAGAGAGGCAUCCUCUUAGAAGGCCCCCAUGAAAACCAGCCAGUGAGUACCGUGAAGCCAUUCUUGAAGCCAUUCUUGAUACCUUUCUUUCUGAAGCCCAUCUGUUUCAUACCCUUCAACAUGAUCUCUCACUCUCUUACUCUGAGCAUCACAUCGCCAAAUCAUCCCUCUACGAGACACGUCUUGGACAGACAUGGGAUUGCUCCUGCGAGACACCCCGUCGUUCCUGAGGUGUCUCUUUGUCUCCACACUUUGCCCGGCCUCCACUCUGAUAUGACUACUUUCAAGCUUGAUGCUAUGCUUGUUGCUAUGCUUCUUGAUUUCCUUCUUGGCUUCUUCUGCGAUUGAUCUCUUCACUACAACCAAGUAAGAAUCACAUGUUAUUGAGAGUUAGAAAAGUGAAGGCUAGAAUCUGUAGUAAUAAUCAACUCAGUCUGACACACAACUGGAAGUCGUCAGAAAAAUUGGCCUAUGACAAACACAGGGGCAUCGUCGAGAUAGCGUUACUGUUUGUUGUCGUUCUUGCCGCCUUUGCCCUUGCCCUUGCCGUCCUUUCCGUCAUGGUCGUCCUUGCCGUCCUUGUCUGUGCACUUGAACACAGUGCUGUACUUGGGCACGUAAGCUGUCACGGUCGAGGCAGACUCAGUGAAGGUGGUGGUCAGGGCAGGAAGAGCCACUGCGGACUGGGUGUACGUGGUGGUGUAGGUAGUGGUAGAGGCACCCUUAUGGAUCUUUGAGAUCUCUGUCACGGUGGUAGUGGAGGCUGGAGCAAAGUGUGUGGUGGUGGUGACUGACGCCGGAGCCGCAGGCUUGGUGUAGGUGGUAGUGUAAGUACUGAUGGAGGGAUCGCCGUGGGUCUUGAUUGUCUUAGUCACAGUGGUGGUCAAAGGGUGGCCAGCAUCCUUGAUAGAGGUGAAAGUAGUGGUGGUGGUUCCCUUGAAGGCUGUCACGGUGGUGGUUCCCUUGAAGGCCGUGACGGUGGUGGUGGAGGGGCUGAUGUCCUUGUCCUUGGUGACUGUGGUGGUUCCCUUGAAGGCUGUGACAGUAGCGGUGGUGGUUACUGGCUUACCCUCCACGGUAUGGGUAGUGGUGCCCUCAAAAGCCGUGAAGGUGGUGGUGCCCUUGAAUGCUGUGACAGUAGCGGUGGUGGAAGGAUCCACAUUGAUCUUCGUAAUCUCAGUCACAGUCGUAGUGGAGGGAGCUGCAUCCUUCACGAUGGUGGAGUAGGACGUGGUAGUGCCCUUCCAUGCGGUCAGAGUGGUAGUGGAGUACUUGUACUCGGGAAUAUUCUUGGUCACCGUGGUAGUGGACGCCAGGGGAGUGACAGUGUUAGUAACGGUAGACGGAUCAAGAUGGAUCUUGGUGACCUCGGUCACGGUGGUAGUCAGGGCAGGAGGGGCAGGCUUGGUAACGGUGGCAGUGACUGUGGAAGUCUCUUUGCCAAAAACAUACUUGAUAUCUGUUUUAGUAACAGUCUUGGUGUUCAAGACAGUCUUGACAACAGUAGUGGUGGAGCAAGCAUCUCUAUCCUUGUCCUUGUCCUUGAAAAUGAAUCGCUCGUUGACGUUUGCCAUGUUCUCUUCCGCUACAGGGAAGGCGACAGGGCUGGCAGCAACCAGUGCAGCAAGUGCGAAUGUUCCAAUAAAUCUCAUUGUUGUUGGUGGUUUUCAGUUGAACAUGCGUUAUUGCACUGGUAUAAAUACACCUCUUGGAGAUAGUGUGAAUGGCUGGCUUGGUAAACCCAUGGAUCGUGUCUUCUUUCACGGUCCAUGGCAAUCGCCAUAUGGGUGGACUAGCUUCUUGGCACAGUUGAUGUGGUGGUACCCAGGGUGGUUUAAUGUCAGUUUCUGUCUCUCCAUUUGUGCAGACAAUGCUUGUAUUCGGCCAGUGCCCCGUUGACAGUUGUGUGUGCCUCUCUCUUGUUGCCCUUUUCGGAGCACACAGGACAUACACACCAUCCAGUACAGUACUCAAGUAAAGAAAUGAUGUCUACACUUCUGAAUUUGGUCUGUAUCGUUCAAUACCACGUAUAUACAACACUUCUGAUCCUCACUGGCGUCAUUUUAGGAGAUGUCAUUCUGAUAUCUCAAGACAAGGAUGGCAAACAAGUGGUGGAUAGCACACAAUCUCUUUGUGAGUCUGGCUUCUCGAGAAUUAUUAUUCCUGAAUAGGGAGUUCACAUUUACUCUUAGCAUGUCUGCUGCUUUCAAUUGCAUCUUUAUUAUCUUCUUUUUUCCAUGGAGAUUUGUCAACCGGCUUCACCACAUGGUCACGCUUCUCCAGUCUACUUGUCGAAGGAGCUCUCGAGUGGAGCUUGAGGAAGAACACGGCUGAUAUUGGCUCGGGGACUUGUUAAUUCCCUUCUACCAGUCAGUUAUAACCUAUCUUCAUAACCCAGUCUUCUGUCUCUUCACUACCACGUGGGGCUUUCGACCCUGUUGACUUUUGGUCGCUGGCUUGCAGUAGUCAAGGUAUCGCGGCAGGGAAGUUGACCAAGAAGACGACUUUUAGGAGAUGACGUUUGCCAAACUUGGCGUGCGAGUCGCCAAGUACGAUAAAAUGAGCUACUUUGCUUCCAACUUGUCUUCAGAAUCAGUCCAGCUGACUGAGACUGGUCUGGAAGCGCUCCCCGAACUGCUGCUUGU
rnacentral:misc_RNA from 1 species